rnacentral:rRNA from 1 species
CCGGCGACCGGCGGACGGGUGCGUAACGCGUAUGUAACCUACCUUUGACAGGGGGAUAACAUCGAGAAAUUGGUACUAAUACCCCAUAACAUCACCGGAGGCAUCUUCGGUGGUUGAAAACUCAGGUGGCCAGAGAUGGACAUGCGUUGUAUUAGCUAGUUGGUGAGGUAACGGCUCACCAAGGCGACGAUACAUAGGGGGACUGAGAGGUCAACCCCCCACAUUGGUACUGAGACACGGACCAAACUCCUACGGAAGGCAGCAG